GAGAGCCUAAAGAGCAAGGUACCAGAAAUGAUUGCUAGUGUCGAGGCGUUGCUGGAAAGCAAAGUCUGUAAUUAAGAAGAAGUAUGGCCAAGAUGCAACAAAUGUUGGUGAUGAGGGUGACAUUGCUCU